rfam:Triticum aestivum genome assembly, contig: Triticum_aestivum_CS42_TGACv1_scaffold_032119_1BL
UUCAUACUCCCUCUCUCCAGAAAUACUCGUCGGAGAAAUGGAUGUAUCUAGACGUAUUUUAGUUUUAGAUACAUUCGUCUUUAUCAAUUUCUUUGACAAGUAUUUUCAGACGGAGGGAGUAUAUU